ACUGCGGAAGGAUCAUUACCGAGUGAGGGCCCUCUGGGUCCAACCUCCCACCCGUGUCUAUCGUACCUUGUUGCUUCGGCGGGCCCGCCGUUUCGACGGCCGCCGGGGAGGCCUUGCGCCCCCGGGCCCGCGCCCGCCGAAGACCCCAACAUGAACGCUGUUCUGAAAGUAUGCAGUCUGAGUUGAUUAUCGUAAUCAGUUAAAACUUUCAACAACGGAUCUCUUGGUUCCGGCAUCGAUGAAGAACGCAGCGAAAUGCGAUAAGUAAUGUGAAUUGCAGAAUUCAGUGAAUCAUCGAGUCUUUGAACGCACAUUGCGCCCCCUGGUAUUCCGGGGGGCAUGCCUGUCCGAGCGUCAUUGCUGCCCUCAAGCACGGCUUGUGUGUUGGGCCCCCGUCCCCCUCUCCCGGGGGACGGGCCCGAAAGGCAGCGGCGGCACCGCGUCCGGUCCUCGAGCGUAUGGGGCUUUGUCACCUGCUCUGUAGGCCCGGCCGGCGCCAGCCGACACCCAACUUUAUUUUUCUAAGGUUGACCUCGGAUCAGGUA
rnacentral:misc_RNA from 1 species